AAUAGUUUUUGUGUACCUAUAAAUUUAUUUAUUAUCGUUAUUUGUAAUUGUAACCAUUGGGGGCUAUCAGCUCAUGGAUUUUAUAAAAAAAAAAAAAAAAAUAAGUAACUGAUAUAGAAGUCUGUCGAUAUUUAUUAUCACACACACACACGCACACACCCAUCAGUAGCCAAUAUAGGUACAUCAUAAUAUGUAUAGUAUUAUGUGCAGACUACUGUACACAAACGGAAUGAGGAGACUAUACUCGUCAGAGAUGCCGACCACGUUUCCUAUACCAUACACUGCAGCCAUAGGGAGAGAGGCGAAUGAUCGAUGAGUGCGUUUCAGACAAACCGGACAGUAAUAUUAUAGAUAUACGUGCGUAAGUCACGCGCAUUUACGUAUGCGUUCGGGAUAUUAAAUUAAACGAAUCGCGAAUACACAAAAAUAAUACCAGAAGCUAUAUAACCACAAACGGAUGCUGUACUAGGGUGCAACUGCUGUGGUUUGUGUGGUGUUCUUUUGGACAAGCUUAUGAAUAAAAUCAAUACGACGGCAGCAUAAUAUAAUAUUCAGUUGUCAAAUGGCAUGGUUUUGACAAAAUUCCAAAUAGGUGAUGGACAUUGAAAUCGAUUUUUUCGGGAGAGAUAUAGCAAUUUGCCUCAUUAAAAAAUUCUUAAUUAUAAGUAGUUUUAUCUAACUUUACCUAACCUAUAAGUUUCGUUUAUAAUCUGUUAUGUGUAAUUGUUAUUCAAAUAAUUGUGUUAUUGUCAAACUAAAAACGUAUUGAUAUAAUAUUAUCACGUUAAUAACUAUAUUAUAACCCUGUUAAGUAUAAAGUAGGCAACUAAAAUGAUAUUCAUGAGUUUAUGAAAUAUAUAUCGACGCCUUCCCUGCUCUCGAUAUAAUAUAAUUUUAUUUUUUUUACUCUCAAUAAUAUAAUGACAUUUAAUGAUAUUAUAUUAUAUCACAUAUGUCAUAUUAUUAUGUCAUAUCUAUUCUGGUGACAUUCGAGAUGAUUCCUGGAUGUGCAUCGAGGUUCAAAACGUUCAAUAACGCGAGGUGAAUACUUCCAAAAAUGUACCUAUUAAUCAUUCGACUUUUCGAAUAAAUCGUGUGUCUAAAAUUGUUAUAACGAAGAAUCGAACCCCAUUUUUCAUAUGUAACUUUAAUUCAAGUAAAAAUAAGAAAAAAACACUUUUAUUUUGGAAUACACACCGUCCUACUAUAAUAAAAGUAUGUCAUUAGUGUGAUAACUUGUAGAAAAUAAUCAAUCUGACAUGAAUAAAACACGCAAAUAUUGAUUAUUGAAUAGUUCAUUGAAACUUAUCAGCUUUUAUACUUAUAUAAAUAUAUUAUAUACCUUUAAAAAACCAUAUUGUCCGAAAAAAUUAUUGCGUAAAAACU